UAAAGCCUUUACUCUGGAUUAACAGGAGAGCUUCAACAUCCUGACUCUUUUCCUUCAGCUGCCAGCUCCAUCUCUUGCAAUGACGAGGUGGAACAUUCCGAUCCGCACGCUUCCCUGAGACGCAGGCGCUUCAUUCUCAGCUGUUUGAGCCCUCAGCUCACCAAAAGGUCAAUGACUUGACCCAUUGUGCAUCACCACCAUCGAGCAGGCUAUUAAUGGAGACUUGGGGGGGGUCUGUUUGCUUGAUUUACUUUGACAAGUGUCCAACUGGGUAUCCCAUGAUGCUUUUGCUCCUUUGAUUGAGUUACUUGUCAUUUCUUUGGUAUCCUUGCUUGGACCAGCUGUGUGAUGGAGGCAGAGAGCACAGUGUGUUUUCACUGCCCCACACAAACACUGUGAUCCUGCAGGAGACCUACAGUAACACACACUGCAGAGAUGAAGGAGAUGCCCUUCCGGCCGCAACCCAUCUC